GAGAGGAUGAUCAGCCACACCGGAAUUGAGACACGGUCCAGACUCCUACGGGAGGCAGCAGUGGGGAAUAUUGCACAAUGGGGGAAACCCUGAUGCAGCCAUGCCGCGUGUGUGAAGAAGGCCUUCGGGUUGUAAAGCACUUUCAGCGAGGAGGAAAGGUCAGUAGCUAAUAUCUGCUGGCUGUGACGUUACUCGCAGAAGAAGCACCGGCUAACUCCGUGCCAGCAGCCGCGGUAAUACGGAGGGUGCAAGCGUUAAUCGGAAUUACUGGGCGUAAAGCGCACGCAGGCGGUUGGAUAAGUUAGAUGUGAAAGCCCCGGGCUCAACCUGGGAAUUGCAUUUAAAACUGUCCAG
rnacentral:rRNA from 1 species